rnacentral:rRNA from 1 species
GACGAACGCUGGCGGCGUGCUUAACACAUGCAAGUCGAACGGAAAGGCCCUGCUUUUGUGGGUUGCUCGAGUGGCGAACGGGUGAGUAACACGUGAGUAACCUGCCCUUGACUUUGGGAUAACUUCAGGAAACUGGGGCUCAUACCGGAUAGGAGCUCCUGCUGCAUGGUGGGGGUUGGAAAGUUUCGGCGGUUGUGGAUGGACUCGCGGCUUAUCAGCUUGUUGGUGGGGUAGUGGCUUACCAAGGCUUUGACGGGUAGCCGGCCUGAGAGGGUGACCGGCCACAUGGGGACUGAGAGACGGCCCAGACGCCUACGGGAGGCAGCAGUGGGGAAUAUUGCACAAUGGGCGGAAGCCUGAUGCAGCAACGCCGCGUGCGGGAUGACGGCCUUCGGGUUGUAAACCGCUGUCGCCUGUGACGAAGCGUGAGUGACGGUAAUGGGUAAAGAAGCACCGGCUAACUACGUG